rnacentral:rRNA from 1 species
AGAGUUUGAUCAUGGCUCAGAUUGAACGCUGGCGGUAUGCUUAACACAUGCAAGUCGAACGGUAACAGGUCUAGCUUGCUAGAUGCUGACGAGUGGCGGACGGGUGAGUAACGCGUAGGAAUCUACCUAAUAGUGGGGGACAACCUGGGGAAACUCAGGCUAAUACCGCAUAUUUUCUAAGGAAUAAAGUAUGGGACCUUCGGGCCAUACGCUAUUAGAUGAGCCUGCGUUAGAUUAGCUUGUUGGUGGGGUAAAGGCCUACCAAGGCGACGAUCUAUAGCUGUUCUGAGAGGAAGAUCAGCCACACUGGGACUGAGACACGGCCCAGACUCCUACGGGAGGCAGCAGUGGGGAAUAUUGGACAAUGGGGGCAACCCUGAUCCAGCAAUACCGCGUGUGUGAAGAAGGCCUGCGGGUUGUAAAGCACUUUCAGUGAGGAAGAGGGCAAUAAGUCGAAUAGGCUUGUUGAUUGACAUUACUUACAGAAGAAGCACCGGCUAACUCUGUGCCAGCAGCCGCGGUAAUACAGAGGGUGCGAGCGUUAAUCGGAAUUACUGGGCGUAAAGGGUGCGUAGGUGGCUUAACAAGUCAGGUGUGAAAUCCCAGGGCUCAACCUUGGAAUUGCAUUUGAAACUGUUUAGCUAGAGUACGGUAGAGGGAAGUGGAAUUUCCGGUGUAGCGGUGAAAUGCGUAGAUAUCGGAAGGAACACCAGUGGCGAAGGCGACUUCCUGGACCGACACUGACACUGAGGCACGAAAGCGUGGGGAGCGAACAGGAUUAGAUACCCUAGUAGUCC